rnacentral:lncRNA from 1 species
CAGCCCUACAUCUGUUGUUAUCUGUGUAGUGGAAUUAUGACAUAAUGAUGUGCUUCUGCACAUCUCUUCCUAACUCUUGGCUCCAUAACAUCGUGGCAGCAGCUUGAAUCAGCCGAGUGGGGGUAUUUACACCACAGAAAUUGGUAAACAGCAUAUGGGGGCCAGGGAAAAUUUUCCCUUUUGCCCUCUGAAGGUUCAUGGAAAAAUCAACUCACAAAAGGCAGAAAAUUGGAGACAAAGCAUACAAAAGUUAUUAUUAACAUGUACAUGGGAGCCUUCAGCAUGAAGACCUGAAGAAAAACAGAAAACUAUUCGUUUUUAUGCUUAGGUUCAACAAAGUAUGGACAGCCAUGUAGAAAUAUGACUGGAUGAAAAGGCUAUGAUCAAAUGCUAAUAGACUGAGUGAGGAAGCCCAGCAAGGACUUCUGCCUGGAUUCUUCCUGGCCUCUCUGAGCAUUCAUUCCUUCCUUCUGAAUAUGGGGCAGGACCCACUCUAGAAUGAGGAUCUUAUGACCUAGAGUCAAGGAAGGCAAGAAGUGAUCCCAGCCUCCAGAUGGAAAGAUCAAGGCCCAGAGAAGAGUCCUGGGUUGCUGCCCCAUCAACCCAUCCCGGAUAACUCCCAAGAUCUCAGCCCAAGCCAGGCUGACAGUGUUGGCUUUGUACUUGCUUCCUGGAACACAUCUGGCCUCAGACUCCUGAGGCCAAGACACACUCCCUGCCAGCCACCCUGCCAUGGCUUGCCAGCUCUCCUCACCCAGGGACAACAGUGGGCAUCUGUCCACACCAACCAGGCUCGUCAGGUCUCCGGGAGCUGCUUGAAUCCUUCCACAAUCUUGGGUAAGCUGUUCCUGAAUAGAAUGCAUUAUGAGGCAUGACUACUGGACCAUGUGUUUGGUGCCAGAAGAGGGGAUGGAGGCCAGGCCACAUGGCACAUGAACAUGCUUGAGACCUCAUGGUGAUGUGAGGUGCCAUUUUAUAAGCCUAAGGUUUACCUUUCUAAUUAUACUUUACCUAAUCCAAUAUUAGAGGCUAUUUAGAGUUUUGCAGAGGCAACCUUUUUUUCAUUUGAGAGAAAAGGAAACUGAAGUUUGAGGAGGGAGCCAGGGUCAGCCCCAGGUCUGGGGCCUGGUUUAAUCACUUUCUGGGAAUAGCCCCAUCCCCCCAAAAAAGCUGCUGUUGAGAUCCAGGCUACCCUCAUGCUUUCCAAAGGGCAAUUCUCACCUGGGAGUACUUGGGGCCCCACCACACACAGGAAGUGGCCCAGGCUACUGGCCCUCAGGGAUGGAGUGAGAAAGAGGAC